AUGUCUGAAUGGCUUAUUUCUUGUUUUUAUAGGUGUAUGUUGUAUGUAACACAUUCUGGGGCACAUAAAAUACUGUUUCUCCAAGUAGCAAGGAAAUCAUUGUUCACUAUGCAUCUAAUUCCAUCCAAGGCACAUACAUCCAUAUUGUAUUUAUGUCUUCAUUAUAUAGACAUCAGUAAGUGGGGUGGAUCAGUGAGGAAGGAGUUGGUCUUGAUUGGUAAGAUGAUGUAA